rnacentral:rRNA from 1 species
CCUACGGGGGGCUGCAGUGAGGAAUAUUGGUCAAUGGGCGCGAGCCUGAACCAGCCAAGUCGCGUGAGGGAGGACGGCCCUACGGGUUGUAAACCUCUUUUGCCGGGGAGCAACGGGCGUCACGUGUGGCGCCACUGAGAGUACCCGGAGAAAAAGCAUCGGAUAACUCCGUGCCAGCAGCCGCGGUAAUACGGGGGAUGCGAGCGUUAUCCGGAUUUAUUGGGUGUAAAGGGUGCGUAGGCGGAUCGUUAAGUCAGUGGUCAAAUUGUGGGGCUCAACCCCUUCCCGCCAUUGAAACUGGCGUUCUUGAGUGGAAGAGAAGUAUGCGGAAUGCGUGGUGUAGCGGUGAAAUGCAUAGAUAUCACGCAGAACCCCGAUUGCGAAGGCAGCAUACCGGCUUCCGACUGACGCUGAAGCACGAAAGCGUGGGGAUCGAACAGGAUUAGAUACCCGUGUAGUC